UCCACGCCGUAAACGAUGACUACUAGGUGUCGGGGGACGACAGUGCCCCGGUGCCGGCGCAAACGCAAUAAGUAGUCCACCUGGGGAGUACGUCCGCAAGGAUGAAACUCAAAGGAAUUGACGGGGACCCGCACAAGCGGUGGAGCAUGUGGUUUAAUUCGAAGCGACGCGAAGAACCUUACCCGGCCUUGACAUCCCCACGGAUGCAGGGCAAUGCCUGCAGCCCUCCGGGGCGUGGGAGACAGGUGGUGCAUGGUUGUCGUCAGCUCGUGUCGUGAGAUGUUGGGUCAAGUCCCGCAACGAGCGCAACCCCUGCCCCUAGUAGCCAGCGAGCGAGACGGGCACUCUAGGGGGACUGCCGGGGACAACCCGGAGGAAGGCGGGGACGACGUCAAAUCAUCAUGCCCCUUAUGGCCGGGGCUACACACGUGCUACAAUGGCGCGCACAGAGGGAGGCGAGCGGGCGACCGUGAGCGAAGCCCGGAAAGCGCGCCCCAGUUCGGAUUGCAGCCUGCAACUCGGCUGCAUGAAGCCGGAAUCGCUAGUAAUCGCGGAUCAGAACGCCGCGGUGAAUACGUUCCCGGGUCUUGUACACACCGCCCGUCACACCAUGGGAGUCGGGAACGCCCGAAGUCGGUGCCCCAACCGAAAGGAGGGAGCCGCCGAAGGCGGGCCCGGCGACUGGGGUGGAGUCGUAACAAGGUAGCCGUAUCGGAAGGUGCGGUUGGAUCACCUC
rnacentral:rRNA from 1 species